CGACGGCGUCCCGAUCAAGCCCCUUCAGUUGUUGGCUCAAGCGCCCAGCGCCUUGGCCGACGUCGGUUUCCUGUGCUGAAUUCCUAACGGAUGGCAAUCUCUCGUCCACCAACGUCCCGUACUCCUCACCUCGUCGCGGAUCCGCAAGGAGACGCGGCGCGGUGAGGACAUCAAAGCCCCCGUCGUGUCUCGCAGCCCUAGCGCUGUCGACCCACGACGUCGCGCUCGAUCUCUCGGAUGCGGAAAACCAAGCGGCCACGAGGCCACGGCCUCCGCUGCCCCUUUCAAGAGCGUCCCACGCUCCCUGCGGACGACUGCCGAUCCGGUCUUGGCCCGGGGCCCCAGCGGCUCCCGGAUCAUGCCCGAUCGGCGUCGACGAGGAAUGCUACCUGGUUGAUCCUGCCAGUAGUCAU
rnacentral:misc_RNA from 1 species